rnacentral:lncRNA from 1 species
CAGAGGUGCAUGGAUAGAAACAGUGUUCGCUCUGAAACAGGGACUGGUGGUGUCCUCUCGUAGUCAAAUCCUGGGUGGAAAGCGUUCUAGGACAUAUGAGAACCCAGGUGAAGAGAUGGAGCGUUUCUGCUGACCCUAAGGAACACUCUUCUGGAAUCCAGGUUGGUGAAACACAAAGGCUGCCCCAUCACUAGCAAGUGCUUAGAGCCCGGGUCCCAGCCCAGGCAGGCGGCAACGCAAGGCCAGCAUCAGGAGGACCCAGGGGCCGGGCCAAGGCUGGCCGUCCUGGGAUAGGAGACCCUCCCCAGCGCCACAGAAGGCCCCAUUCUCUGGGUGGUGACCAGCUGCCCCAGGGAUGCCCUGCCUUGAGGUUGGAUCUGAAAAACCACCUCUUUCAGCUUUUUCUCCUUUGUCACAAAAAAAGUUUCAGAAAUAAAAACCUACUGGAAGAUUCCUUAUAACAUGUACAGAAACCGUGUCAGGCUGAGUGUGCAGUAACCGUGUGGGAUGACGGGCCACACACACCCGGGAGUACACCCUCACCGCAGCACCUACACACGUGUGUCACACCAAAGCCAGAGUUUGCCAAGAAUAUUUACCCUACACCGCAGUAUCGUCUCUUUAUUCAAGCCGGCGACUAAUUGAUUUCAGGACCCACUAGUGGGUUGUGGGAGCAAUUUUAGAGUCCCUGCUCUGUGUCCAGGGCCACAUCAAGAAUGAAAGAAGGGAGUACUGAGGGAGCCCCAGCCCUGGAUGCCCCUCCCUGGGGAGCACCUGCCCUGAACACCCGGCCAGCCAGGCAGAGUGGGGCAGAGGCGCAGCCCACCCUUCCAGGGCAGGUGAGCCACAGGCACCCCUCCCAAGACCCCUCAGCGAAUGUGCCAACCCUGCCAACCUCUCCUCUGGUCGCAGCUCCCUCUCUGUUCUAGACACUGGAAGUUUCCUUGCUCCACUGGGAGGGCUGUGAGCAUACAUGAGGGAAAGACCCCAGGAGAAGAGAAAAGAGAAGGAAAGAGAAGUGGCUGAGAUGUACCCAGGACUUCCACGAGGUGGAUUGGAGGAACGCUGCCCAGAGAACUGACCUCAGCCAAAAAAAAAAAAAAAAAAAAAAAAAAAACGAAAAAGGAAAAAAAAAGAGCUUUCAAUCAUCAGGCAAUUAUUACAACUGUGGAAAAAGAUAAAUGAAUGUACAAAGCUCCCAGGCAAGGCAUCAAAACGGUCCAAGGCAGAGACAGAUCAUAUGCAGCCCGCAGAGAUCUCAGCUGUUGCUAAGAUGAAGCAUUGGCUGGAAUUAGGCAGCACACCAACACGUGUUGUUCUGCCUCUCCGCUCAUCCUAUCACUGAUGAAAGUAACAGUGGUUCUGAGCCCGCCUUCGCCUUUGACCUCCGGAUGGUGCUGGCGGGUCUGCUCAGAUCACAGACAAGGAAACCUAACUUUGAGAAGGUCAGUGGUUUUCCACACUGCGCAGCUAAGGGGAAGGAGCCAG